CCCUUAGAUGUUCUGGGCCGCACGCGUGCUACACUGAGUAAUUCAAUGGGUAAGGGAACGCUAGAGCAUUACCUAAUCUUGAAAUUUGCUCGUGAUGGGGAUCGACGGUUGCAAUUUUCCGUCGUGAACGAGGAAUACCUUGUAGGCGCAUGUCAUCAUCAUGCGCCGAAUACGUCCCUGCCCUUUGUACACACCGCCCGUCGCUCCUACCGAUUGAGUGAUCCGGUGAGGCUCUGGGACCUGGACGGAAAGAGCGUUUCGCUUGUUCUGUUUGGGAAACUUGGUCGAACCUUAUCAUUUAGAGGAAGGAGAAGUGGUAACA
rnacentral:rRNA from 1 species